rnacentral:rRNA from 1 species
UACGGGGGGAGCAAGCGUUGUUCGGAUUUACUGGGCGUAAAGGGCGCGUAGGCGGCCACCGCAAGUCGACUGUGAAAUCUCCGGGCUUAACCCGGAAAGGUCAGCCGAUACUGCGGGGCUAGAGUGCAGAAGGGGCAACUGGAAUUCUCGGUGUAGCGGUGAAAUGCGUAGAUAUCGUAGGGAGGACCAGUGGCGAAGGCGAAUCUCUGGACAGUUACUGACGCUGAGGCACGAAGGCCAGGGGAGCAAACGGG